AUGCAAGUCGAGCGGAAACGAGUUAUCUGAACCUUCGGGGAACGAUAACGGCGUCGAGCGGCGGACGGGUGAGUAAUGCCUAGGAAAUUGCCCUGAUGUGGGGGAUAACCAUUGGAAACGAUGGCUAAUACCGCAUGAUGCCUACGGGCCAAAGAGGGGGACCUUCGGGCCUCUCGCGUCAGGAUAUGCCUAGGUGGGAUUAGCUAGUUGGUGAGGUAAGGGCUCACCAAGGCGACGAUCCCUAGCUGGUCUGAGAGGAUGAUCAGCCACACUGGAACUGAGACACGGUCCAGACUCCUACGGGAGGCAGCAGUGGGGAAUAUUGCACAAUGGGCGCAAGCCUGAUGCAGCCAUGCCGCGUGUGUGAAGAAGGCCCUUCGGGUUGUAAAGCACUUUCAGUCGUGAGGAAGGUGGUGUAGUUAAUAGCUGCAUUAUUUGACGUUAGCGACAGAAGAAGCACCGGCUAACCUCCGUGCCAGCAGCCGCGGUAAUACGGAGGGUGCGAGCGUUAAUCGGAAUUACUGGGCGUAAAGCGCAUGCAGGGUGGUUUGUUAAGUCAGAUGUGAAAGCCCGGGGCUCAACCUCGGAAUAGCAUUUGAAACUGGCAGACUAGAGUACUGUAGAGGGGGGUAGAAUUUUCAGGUGUAGCGGUGAAAUGCGUAGAGAUCUGAAGGAAUACCGGUGGCGAAGGCGGCCCCCUGGACAGAUACUGACACUCAGAUGCGAAAGCGUGGGGAGCAAACAGGAUUAGAUACCCUGGUAGUCCACGCCGUAAACGAUGUCUACUUGGAGGUUGUGGCUUGAGCCGUGGCUUUCGGAGCUAACGCGUUAAGUAGACCGCCUGGGGAGUACGGUCGCAAGAUUAAAACUCAAAUGAAUUGACGGGGGCCCGCACAAGCGGUGGAGCAUGUGGUNUAAUUCGAUGCAACGCGAAGAACCUUACCUACUCUUGACAUCCAGAGAACUUUCCAGAGAUGGAUUGGUGCCUUCGGGAACUCUGAGACAGGUGCUGCAUGGCUGUCGUCAGCUCGUGUUGUGAAAUGUUGGGUUAAGUCCCGCAACGAGCGCAACCCUUAUCCUUGUUUGCCAGCGAGUAAUGUCGGGAACUCCAGGGAGACUGCCGGUGAUAAACCGGAGGAAGGUGGGGACGACGUCAAGUCAUCAUGGCCCUUACGAGUAGGGCUACACACGUGCUACAAUGGCGCAUACAGAGGGCGGCCAACUUGCGAAAGUGAGCGAAUCCCAAAAAGUGCGUCGUAGUCCGGAUUGGAGUCUGCAACUCGACUCCAUGAAGUCGGAAUCGCUAGUAAUCGUGGAUCAGAAUGCCACGGUGAAUACGUUCCCGGGCCUUGUACACACCGCCCGUCACACCAUGGGAGUGGGCUGCAAAAGAAGUAGGUAG
rnacentral:rRNA from 1 species